UACGAAGGGGGCUAGCGUUGCUCGGAAUCACUGGGCGUAAAGGGUGCGUAGGCGGGUCUUUAAGUCAGAGGUGAAAUCCUGGAGCUCAACUCCAGAACUGCCUUUGAUACUGAGGAUCUUGAGUCCGGGAGAGGUGAGUGGAACUGCGAGUGUAGAGGUGAAAUUCGUAGAUAUUCGCAAGAACACCAGUGGCGAAGGCGGCUCACUGGCCCGAUACUGACGCUGAGGCACGAAAGCGUGGGGAGCAAACAGG
rnacentral:rRNA from 1 species